rnacentral:rRNA from 1 species
AUUGAACGCUGGCGGCAUGCCUAACACAUGCAAGUCGAACGGCAGCACAGUAAAGAUUUCGGUCUUUAUGGGUGGCGAGUGGCGGACGGGUGAGUAAUGCGUAGGAAUCUGUCCUGGAGAGUAGGAUAACCCGAGGAAACUCGGGCUAAUACUGCAUGAUAUCGAGAGAUCAAAGGCAGGGGACCCUUCGGGGCCUUGCGCUCUCGGGUGAGCCUACGCCGGAUUAGCUAGUUGGUGGGGUAAAGGCCUUCCAAGGCGACGAUCCGGAGCUGGUCUGAGAGGAUGACCAGCCACACUGGGACUGAGACACGGCCCAGACUCCUACGGGAGGCAGCAGUGGGGAAUCUUGGACAAUGGGGGAAACCCUGAUCCAGCGAUGCCGCGUGUGUGAAGAAGGCCUUCGGGUUGUAAAGCACUUUAGUUGGGGAAGAAAAGUAAUGAGUGAAUAACUGAUUGCUCUGACGGUACCCAAAGAAUAAGCACCGGCUAACUCUGUGCCAGCCGCCGCGGUAA